AGCUCUGGACAGAGGGGCAGAAGCUCUGGACAGAGGGGCAGAAGCUCUGGACAGAGGGGCAGAAGCUCUGGACAGAGGGGCAGAAGCUCUGGACAGAGGGGCUCUGGCGCCUCUGGGCUGACGGGCUCUGGCGCCUCAGACUCCGGCAGCGGCGCCGGACAGGCGGGAGGCUCCGGCAGCAGCGCCGGACAGGCGGGAGGCUCCGGACAGGCGGGAGGCUCCGGCAGCAGCGCCGGACAGGCGGGAGGCUCCGGCCGCAGCGCCGGACAGGCGGGAGGCUCCGGACAGGCGGGAGGCUCCGGACAGGCGGGAGGCUCCGGACAGGCGGGAGGCUCCGGACAGGCGGGAGGCUCCGGCAGCGGCGCCGGACAGGCGGGAGGCUCCGGCAGCGGCGCCGGACAGGCGGGAGGCUCCGGCAGCGGCGCCGGACAGGCGGGAGGCUCCGGCAGCGGCGCCGGACAGGCGGGACCACCUGCAGGGAGGAGACAGAGAGACAGCCUGGUGCGUGGGGCUGCCACAGGAACCACCAGGCUGGGGAGACCUUCAGGAGGCUUGGUGUUAAGAGGAGGCACCUGAAGGACCGGGCUGUGGGGAGCACUGGAGCGCAACCUUGGCACCACUUCCCCAGGCUGGACAACUAUUUUAGCCCGGACCCUCCAGAGUGCAGGCACAGGUUGAACCGGGCUGUGGGUAAGCACGGGAGAUCUAGUGCUUACUACACGCACCUCUCCCUU
ensembl:lncRNA